UGUGGUGUAGCUUAACUGGUAGAGCGCCCCUUGUGUGGGGAGGUGAGCACUACGCAAGGAUCAUAACCCAGCGUAUCUCAUGCGGUCCGGCCGGACGUUAUAUGGGUUCGAGUCCCGUCGCCACAA
rnacentral:tRNA from 1 species